rnacentral:rRNA from 1 species
UACGGAGGGGACUAGCGUUGUUCGGAAGUACUGGGCGUAAAGCGCACGUAGGCGGAUUUGUAAGUCAGGGGUGAAAUCCCGGGGCUCAACCUCGGAACUGCCUUUGAUACUGCAAAUCUCGAGUCCGGAAGAGGUGAGUGGAAUUCCUAGUGUAGAGGUGAAAUUCGUAGAUAUUAGGAAGAACACCAGUGGCGAAGGCGGCUCACUGGUCCGGUACUGACGCUGAGGUGCGAAAGCGUGGGGAGCAAACAGG